rnacentral:pre_miRNA from 1 species
ACCACCUGGGUAUCUUGUUAAAAGGCAGAUUCUGAUUUGGUAGGUCUGAAGUGGGCCUGAGAUUCUGCUCUUCUAACAAGUUCCUAAAUGAUGUGGA